GAUGAACGCUGGCGGCGUGCCUAAUACAUGCAAGUCGAGCGAACGGACGAGAAGCUUGCUUCUCUGAUGUUAGCGGCGGACGGGUGAGUAACACGUGGAUAACCUACCUAUAAGACUGGGAUAACUUCGGGAAACCGUAGCUAAUACCGGAUAAUAUUUUGAACCGCAUGGUUCAAAAGUGAAAGACGGUCUUGCUGUCACUUAUAGAUGGAUCCGCGCUGCAUUAGCUAGUUGGUAAGGUAACGGCUUACCAAGGCAACGAUGCAUAGCCGACCUGAGAGGGUGAUCGGCCACACUGGAACUGAGCCACGGUCCAGACUCCUACGGGAGGCAGCAGUAGGGAAUCUUCCGCAAUGGGCGAAAGCCUGACGGAGCAACGCCGCGUGAGUGAUGAAGGUCUUCGGAUCGUAAAGCUCUGUUAUUAGGGAAGAACAUAUGUGUAAGUAACUGUGCACAUCUUGACGGUACCUAAUCAGAAAGCCACGGCUAACUACGUG
rnacentral:rRNA from 1 species